rnacentral:rRNA from 1 species
GACGAACGCUGGCGGCGUGCCUAAUACAUGCAAGUAGAACGCUGAAGGAGGAGCUUGCUUCUCCGGAUGAGUUGCGAACGGGUGAGUAACGCGUAGGUAACCUGCCUGGUAGCGGGGGAUAACUAUUGGAAACGAUAGCUAAUACCGCAUAACAGUAGAUAUUGCAUGAUAUUUACUUGAAAGGUGCAAUUGCAUCACUACCAGAUGGACCUGCGUUGUAUUAGCUAGUUGGUGGGGUAACGGCUCACCAAGGCAACGAUACAUAGCCGACCUGAGAGGGUGAUCGGCCACACUGGGACUGAGACACGGCCCAGACUCCUACGGGAGGCAGCAGUAGGGAAUCUUCGGCAAUGGACGGAAGUCUGACCGAGCAACGCCGCGUGAGUGAAGAAGGUUUUCGGAUCGUAAAGCUCUGUUGUAAGAGAAGAACGAGUGUGAGAGUGGAAAGUUCACACUGUGGCGGUAUCUUACCAGAAAGGGACGGCUAACUACGUGCCAGCAGCCGCGGUAAUACGUAGGUCCCGAGCGUUGUCCGGAUUUAUUGGGCGUAAAGCGAGCGCAGGCGGUUAGAUAAGUCUGAAGUUAAAGGCUGUGGCUUAACCAUAGUACGCUUUGGAAACUGUUUAACUUGAGUGCAAGAGGGGAGAGUGGAAUUCCAUGUGUAGCGGUGAAAUGCGUAGAUAUAUGGAGGAACACCGGUGGCGAAAGCGGCUCUCUGGCUUGUAACUGACGCUGAGGCUCGAAAGCGUGGGGAGCAAACAGG